ensembl:lncRNA
ACCCAGACCCUUACCAUAACCCUUACCCUCACCUUGACCCUAACCAUUACCCUCACCCUCACCUUGACCCUAACCAUUACCCUAACCAUUACCAUAACCCUAACCAUUACCAUAACCCUCACCUUGACCCUAACCAUUACCCUCACCUUGACCCUGACCAUUACCAUAACCCUCACCUUGACCCUAACCAUUACCUUGACCCUAACCCUGACCCUAUCCCUGACCAUAACCCUCACCUUGACCCUGACCCUUCCAGCAAACCACUGGUUCCUGUGGAUGUGUCGAGAUCGAGAACACACCCUCACUAUCUUCUCUCUCUCCUAUUGGCAGUGGGAAGGGUCUAGCGUGCAUAAGCAGGGAAGUUCGAGGCUGACAGAGGUGUUUGUGUGUAUUGAGGGUGUGUGUCCCCCGUCCGUGUGUGUAUGGAGUGUGUCCAUUGCGUGUGCCCGUGUCUGUAUUGUGUGUGUCCGUGUGUGUGUGUAUUUAGUGUGUGUGUGUGUGUGUAUUUAGUGUGUGCCCGUGUCUGUAUUGUGUGUGUCCGUGUGUGUGUGUAUUUAGUGUGUGUCCGUGUGUGUGUGUGUAUUUAUGUGUGUCCCGUGUGUGUGUGUAUUGAGUGUGUGUCCGUGUGUGUGUGUAUUGAGUGUGUGUCCGUGUGUGUGUGUAUUGAGUGUGUAUCUGUGUGUAUUGAGUGUGUCCGUGUGUGUGUGUGUGUGUGUGUAAUGAGUGUGUAUGUGUGUGUAUCCGUGUGUGUGUCCGUGUGUGUGUGUAUGGAGUGUGUCCAUUGUGUGUGCCCGUGUCUGUAUUGUGUGUGUCCGUGUGUGUUUGUAUUUAGUGUGUGUCCGUGUGUGUGUGUGUAUUUAGUGUGUGUCCGUGUGUGUGUGUAUUUAGUGUGUGUCCGUGUGUGUGUGUAUUGAGUGUGUGUCCGUGUGUGUGUGUAUUGAGUGUGUAUCUGUGUGUAUUGAGUGUGUCCGUGUGUGUGUGUGUGUGUGUGUAAUGAGUGUGUAUGUGUGUGUAUCCGUGUGUGUCCGUGUAUGUAUUUAGUGUGUGUCCGUGUGUGUAUUGAGUGUGUAUCUGUGUGUAUUGAGUGUGUCCGUGUGUGUGUGUGUGUGUGUGUAAUGAGUGUGUAUGUGUGUGUAUCCGUGUGUGUGUCCGUGUGUGUGUGUAUGUGUGUAUUUAGUGUGUGUCCGUGUGUGUGUCAGUGUGUGUAUGUGUUGUGUGUGUGUCAGUGUGUGUAUUGAGUGUGUCCGUUUGUGUGUCUCCGUGUGUGUAUUGAGUGUGUAUAUCCGUGUGUGUGUCAGUGUGUGUGUGUCAGUGUGUGUAUUGAGUGUGUCCGUUUGUGUGUCUCCGUGUGUGUAUUGAGUGUGUGUGUCCGUGUGUAUAUUGUGUGUGUAAGUCCGUGUGUGUAUUGAGUGUGUAAGUGUGUCCAUGUGUAUUGAGUGUGUUAGUGUGUUGCACAGGGGGGCAAGUAUGCCCAGCACCUUGGGGGUAGAGUCAGG